UGAGGAUGAUGUUGGAGGAAUCGGAGUGGUCACUGAAGAUCGUGGACUCGCAUCCGCCAUUGCUGGAAGUUUGAACUUCGAGAGGGCAGAGCGAUCCCAUAUGAGAAGACCACCGAUGUGAUCAUAGCAUUUUCUCUGGGCGUACCUUCUGGCACGACACCGCCAUCCGACACAAGUUUGGCCGGCGAAGCAGCUCUGCUUGCUCCUGCACUUACUUUGACGCCUCCGGUGGCUGUUGGUCCUCUUCUCUGCUCUCUCUCAAGCUCUAUGACACUUGAUACUUGUUGAGCAUUCUUGCUGGACGCACCUUCCGGGACCAUGGUGUCAUCCCACACUAGUUUGGCCGGCGAAGCAGCUCUGCCUGCUCUGUCGCUCACUCCAACGCCUCCCGCGCUGCCCCUCCGGUGGCCGCUUCCUCUUUGGUCCUGGCAUAGAUAGCAGGAGGGAUGUACGACUGUUAGGCCCGAAGAGCACGGUGACAUUGCUCAUCGUUGACAGUGAG